rnacentral:tRNA from 1 species
ACGGGCAUAGUUUAAAGGUAGAACUAAGGUCUCCAAAACCUUCAGUGUGGGUUCGAUUCUCGUCACCCGCU